CUACGGGCGGCAGCAGUGAGGAAUAUUGGUCAAUGGGCGCGAGCCUGAACCAGCCAUCCCGCGUGCAGGAUGACGGCCCUAUGGGUUGUAAACUGCUUUUCUAUGCCAAGAAACCUGAUCACGUGUAAUCAGUUGCCGGUAGCAUAGGAAUAAGCAUCGGCUAACUCCGUGCCAGCAGCCGCGGUAAUACGGAGGAUGCAAGCGUUAUCCGGAUUCAUUGGGUUUAAAGGGUGCGCAGGUGGGCUUGUAAGUCAGUGGUGAAAUGCUGCCGCUUAACGGUAGAACUGCCAUUGAUACUGCGAGUCUUGAGUAUGGUUGAGGUAGGCGGAAUGUGUUGUGUAGCGGUGAAAUGCAUAGAUAUGACACAGAACGCCAAUUGCGAAGGCAGCUUACUAAGCCAUUACUGACGCUGAGGCACGAAAGCGUGGGGAGCGAACAGGAUUAGAUACCCCCGUAGUC
rnacentral:rRNA from 1 species